GAUGAAGAACGUAGCGAAAUGCGAUAAGUAAUGUGAAUUGCAGAAUUCAGUGAAUCAUCGAAUCUUUGAACGCACAUUGCGCCCGUCAGUAUUCUGGCGGGCAUGCCUGUUCGAGCGUCAUUACGCCCCUCAAGUCCCCUGUGGACUUGGUGUUGGGGAUCGGCGAGGCUGGUUUUCCAGCACAGCCGUCCCUUAAAUUAAUUGGCGGUCUCGCCGUGGCCCUCCUCUGCGCAGUAGUAAAACACUCGCAACAGGAGCCCGGCGCGGUCCACUGCCGUAAAACCCCCCAACUUUUUAUAGUUCACCUCGAAUCAGGUAGGACUACCCGCUGAACUUAAGCAUAUCAAUAAGCGGAGGA
rnacentral:misc_RNA from 1 species